AUGGACAAAUUGGACAGUGCAUUUGAGCAGGUGAAGCAGAUGUUGUAUGGCAGGCUCCAUGAUGUGCAAAAAAGCAGAUUGUAGAGAGGGUGCACAUCCCAGGGGCUCCUUUAUUGAGACCAAGAGAAGCCAAGAACGAUAAUGCUGCGGCCAGAGAAAAGACGAAUCAUCUAUCGCCCGUUGCUGAUGUGAUGCUGCAGCGACUAGGACAUCAUGAUGAGAUUGUCGAUGACUUGGCUGUUCUUAUGGAGUCGCCCGGAAACUGGUCACAUUGUAGUCCGCUCUAAAUGUUAUGUCUGAGUCUGCUCCCAAAGUUCAGUUUGUGUAUCUUUCUUACUGCUGUAAUGUUGUAAAGAGCUGUAUGUAUGUGAUGCUUCGGACUUCUGAGUCCGCUUGUUUCGUGACUCAGUUGCAAAGAUACAAAAAGUAGAGCUAAAUAUGACAGCAUCAAAAGUCCUAGAUGUAAUUUAAAUUUUAUAUGAGGAUCAUAAUUGUUUGCGUGUGUUUCAUUUUCU